rnacentral:rRNA from 1 species
AUUCAGCUUGCUUCGCGGAGCAGGCGUAUUUCCGCGCAUGGCAGGUCAGCGUCAGUUUUGCGCGGCGUGAAAAGGCUCGGGUAAGGUAGCUCUCUUCGGGGAGUGUUAUAGACCUGGGCAGAUGCGCUGCGCGGGACUGAGGAUUGCAGCGGACACCCCCUCGGGGGCGCGGCGACCGAACCCUGCUCGGCCACCCUCGUUCGAUAGCGUGCUAGCGGACGCGGGAGCGGCAGUGCACCGGAACAGGCAAGCCAGCGG